CAGCAAAACUGUCAAAGGACCUCCUGGUUCAGAGAAUAAAAAGAGGAAACGAAAACGGCAAGAUAAAGGAGCUCUGUUGAAAUCUUUUGGAGGUGGGGCACAACCAAUGCCGCCAGCCCCAAUUGCUAGUGCUACAGCUGAUGAUACAGCAGGUCCAUCCUCUGCAGGUGAGGAGCACUUACCAGCACCUGCAUCCAC